rnacentral:rRNA from 1 species
CGACCGGCGCACGGGUGCGUAACGCGUAUGCAACCUACCUUUAACAGGGGGAUAACACUGAGGAAUUGGUACUAAUACCCCAUAAUAUCAUAGAAGGCAUCUUUUAUGGUUGAAAAUUCCGAUGGUUAGAGAUGGGCAUGCGUUGUAUUAGCUAGUUGGUGGGGUAACGGCUCACCAAGGCGACGAUACAUAGGGGGACUGAGAGGUUAACCCCCCACACUGGUACUGAGACACGGACCAG